rnacentral:rRNA from 1 species
UACGUAGGGGGGCAAGCGUUGUCCGGAUUUAUUGGGCGUAAAGAGCGUGUAGGCGGCCAUGCAGGUCAGCUGUGAAAACUCGAGGCUCAACCUCGAGACGUCGGUUGAAACCGUAUGGCUAGAGUCCGGAAGAGGAGAGUGGAAUUCCCGGUGUAGCGGUGAAAUGCGCAGAUAUCGGGAAGAACACCUAUGGCGAAGGCAGCUCUCUGGGACGGUACUGACGCUGAGACGCGAAAGCGUGGGGAGCGAACAGG